GGGCACGCAAGUCAGAGAUGUUAAAGGAAGAGCUUCCUGAAUCGAACAUUUUAUAUUAGGUCAGACAUUCUGGAAGAUUCUGAGUGAAGUCGAGAACCUGAUGAACAUGGGUCUCACGCCAUGGGGCUCACAGACUCCCAGGGGAGAUAGACUCCGGGCAAGUACUUCUAUUAAAGCGUGUGGGCAACUAUUUCUUGGCUACAUGCAGGGCUGUUGGGACACACGUACUCCCUGCUCCCUCAGAGCCCUACUGAAUGCUUGCUGUGGGCCAGGCACCUGUAGUUAGGCCCGGGAACAGAGCAGUGAACAGAGCAAACAGUAAGCCCAGCCCAUAGGACUUACUUUCUAGGACAGAUGUUUGCCCCAAUGCCUCAUGCUGAAUGUGUGACAGGGGCACUGUCCUGCCCUGGCUGUCCACGUAAGCAAGAAAACCCUCCCCCCGAGUUAGAAGAAGGGGUGACCAAAGCCUGCUUGAAGGGCUCUGCCCUGGACCCCCUUACUCCUGGACUCACACAACGUCGUUAGAAAGUAGGUAUGGUAGCCCAGCCUUCUCCUGUGUGGACGGAGAACCAAAGAUGAGAGCACAUCCUUCGACUGACAUUUUAACCCACGGGGUCUGCGCACAUGGGCAAAGUUCCCGAUCCAGGUCCCGAACUCAGCUUGUGGGCCACCAGCUUGAAAUAUUACAAACGUUCAGGCUCCUAGAUGUCCAAAUAACAGCAGGAUACCCCGGGCUGAGAAGUCCACCCACUUCAGUACCAAACAGAGUACAAUGAAUGAGGCGACACUGACUCUUACGCACCCCUGCCGGUGCCUCCAUUAACGCCACGUUUGAGAGUGAAAUCUUUCUCAAAUUGAUUGGGACCCCUCAAAUCAUGGCGACCCUCAGCCUACAUUUUAUCACCCACUACUUACAUGGAAAGAAGCAGUGAGAGAGAAAGAUGUUGAUCCCACACCUACUCCCCCAUCGUCAAAGGCUAGUCCUGCCCCCUGCUCGUUACAGAGGGUCCUAGAUGCACCCUAGGAGCACGUCCGUGCACCCUCUUCUCUCCUGAGGCUGGGCUCAGGAGUUGUGGGAGGGGAGAGUUGCCAGAUAAACUACAGGAUACCCAGAUAAACUUGAAUUUCCACAAAUACUCGUUUAGUAUAAGUAUAUCCCAGGCAAUGUUUGGGAUAUACUUCCACUAAAAAAAUUUUUGUUGUUGUGUACGUAAUACUCAAGUUAUUUGAACAGGGGGCCCUAUAUUUUUAUUGUAAAUAGGGCCACCCAGGGAAGGGUAUAUAUGGUCCACACUCACGGGAGGGUCAGAAGAAAAGAAAGUUCAUCAAGCUGAAGGGAAGGCUAGCCAGGGCACCGGGGUGGCAGGAGCAGUGAGUUUGGUCAAAAGAGGAUUCAGAGAAGAGAGAACCGUGAGAUGGCUCCAGCUCAGCACCCCGGUGUCUGCUGUGUAAGCGAACCCAGGUUGGUCUGCUAAGGGGUUGGAGACAUCCGGUUCAGGUGCCACCAACACCAAGGUUGAUAGCCAGCCUAUUACAAAACUGUGAGGCCACCUAGACCAGUAGCCCAGCUGACCCGCCAGCUGACUGUCGAUGCUGAGCCGCGCCAAGGUCAGCCCGGCUCGGCCUGGGGCCAGAACCGCUCGGCUGGCCUGCAGGUUCCUGAGCUAACUCCCGGAUGGUUUGUUAUGCAGCAUAGGUAACCAGCGCAAAGACGGGGGGUUGGGGGGUGAUGGGACUUGGGAAUUCCAGACGGAGAAGACAGUGUGACAGAUUGAGGGUCCGAGCGCCCCGAUUUUCUGAGUUCUCCCCAGUCCUCUCCCCAAGGACUGACACAGCAGGUUUUGAGGUCCCUGCUCAUGCCUUCCAUCUCAGGAAUCUUCCAGCCCUGGAGAGCCAACUCAGCCGGGGAAAGAACCUGGCUCAAGGGCAACCAACGCUCCACCGGCUGACUGCCCAUGAGUAGCGUGGCCUGGACCAAUCAAGGCCUUCCUGGCAAUUUGUCAGAGCGCUGUGGGUUAGAGCUGCAGGGUCAUGGGUCUCUAAAGGCCAUGGAAAAGCAGAAGGAUGCUUAGAAGAAACGGAGUAGACUCACAGAGAGACGCAGAGUGGCCCAGGAGAGAGAAGGGGGAGAGAGUGGCCCUUCUCGCACUCAGCACGGCACCGGGAAUUUGCUGGUGAUCUCUGGGUCUAGGGAGCUGAAGACCCUCACUCCAGAACCUUCUCUCCUGCUUGAGCUCCGCCUCAACGCCGGUUCCUUUCUCUGCACUGAUUGACUUUCCUUGUCUGCAGUAACCCCAUUACCGGGGGGAUACCUACCAGACCAAGACUAGGCACCUGCCUCCCAAAUUCUGCUUCAUAAAGAAUUCAGGUUUAUGGAUUGAAUAUAGUUGAGGAGAGGCCACGUCAAAUCCCUCAUAAUAGAAUUGCAUUUUAGGAAUGACUUCAGCUAAUCAAUUAAACUUAAAAAUAUGUUUUG
rnacentral:lncRNA from 1 species